ensembl:lncRNA
GGAGAAAGUAUUUAUUUAUUUUUCGAAGGCGGCCUGAGAGACUCUGGGGCAGGCGCAGUGUGAGGCCACGGAGGCGGGAGGUCAGCCUGCUGUGAACAGGGAUUAAGCAGACACGGCAGAAUGAGGGGGUUUCCGGAGCAGAGGCUGGAGGCAGGGCCUGGUCGGGUGUCUCAAAGUCAGUCCCCCUGGAGAGGGCAAGGCUGGACUGAGCACUCGAGCCACGUCUGCUAGGGGCACUCGUGCCCUGCGCUCUCCCCCACGCCUGCUAUGUCCACAGAAGGCGCCGGCCCCUGGGAGGCCAUUAGACUGAUCUCCUGACUCCAGGCAGUGUGUCCCCAGCCCCUCCGGAGGAAAGCCUGGGGACUCGUCUCCUUCUGUGCCUAGCUUCAGGAGGAAGGCGGGUUGUUCUAAUGCUCCAUUAGCUGGAGCUGGGACCAUCGCAGAAAGCUACUUCUGUUUUGUAAUCAAAGUACAACGAGCCUAGCCUCCCCCAUCUCUGCAGUUGAACUAGUUGUCAACACCUUUCCAGUCAAUAAUGCUGCCUUUAUACCUCCCAGUCCUAACCUGCUUAGGAGCCCCAGUGGAACUCGAGGGCAACAAUUCUCUUAGAGGUCCCGUGGUCCCGUGGUUUUCGGUCUUGGGUUUGUGGGAGGCUGAGUGGAUGGGACCCCAGACCCUCCCCCACUCCAACUAGAGCAGUUUUGCUUUUAUGUGCUUUAUACAUCGAUAUUCCAGCUCAGAUUUUUCGCCAAAAUACUGAAGAGUCCAUUACUGUAAAGAACCAAAAGCAUUUAAAUAUCCUUGUCCUUGGCCACUCUGUGCAGGGAAAUAACUCAAGGCUCAGACAGAAGAGACUGUGGCCCAGGGUCACAGAAAGCUGGAAAUUGACUGCAAGUCACCUGCUUCCUGGCCCAGAGCUGUCCCUCCACCCUCUGCUGGAGUAACUAGUGUGACUUUGGGACAACCAGAGAGAGAUGGAAAACAGCCCUUUAGGAUGUGAAGAGGCAGGAAGGAGUGUGUGGAGUUAGCCCUGCUAGAGGCUGCCUGCCGGGUGGUGGCAAAUUGUCCUGGUCCACGCCAGGGAAAACCUGAGUCUCUGGAGACGCCCGGCCAGACUCCACCAGGCAGGCAUUCCAUGAUCCCUGAUGCCCCACACCCCUAAUGGUGAGAGCUCACCCCUCUUC